rnacentral:misc_RNA from 1 species
UCCGAGUUGACCCCGGCAGUCUCCUGCGAGUCCCCGCCAUUACGCGCUGGCAACACAGGACAAGGGUUGCGCUCGUUGCGGGACUUAACCCAACAUCUCACGACACGAGCUGACGACAGCCAUGCACCACCUGUAUACCGACCACAAGGGGGGCCGUAUCUCUACGGCUUUCCGGUAUAUGUCAAACCCAGGUAAGGUGGGGAUGACGUACCAAGGUUGGUU